UUUCUCUCAAAAAUUAAUAAUUAUUUUAAUUUUUACAUUUAAGCACUAUCAGUAGGGUAGUCAGGAAUACGCGUCAGGAUUAGGAUAUUAUAUCAGAUGAGUAUAUUACGUAGCGUUUAUAAUUUAUUAAAUUACAGAUUUAAAGCUGUUUUAUAUUUAUUUGCAUCAGCACCAAAGUCAAUAACAUCCCAGAGAAGCAACAAUAAUACCAAGGAAGUGCGGAGAGUGCGAUUGUCGCCUCCGAUCCGUCUCUUCUUUGAGGAUAUAUCUGCCGUCGUUGGAUUCAUCGUAACACGACUUCGAUAAACAGAUAAGUAUAACAAGUCUAUUUUUGAGGUCAGGAAGCUUACAAAGAUUUGUUUGAUAGGUCUUCGGGAAUUUAUUAAUUCAGUAAUAUUAAGAUUAACUUUCCCAGCUGAAUUAUAUGUCGAGAUAUUAGAGCAGCAGAAAAUCCAUUUAUUUCUAUCUUUAGUAAUCUAUUUUGUCUCUUAACUUUUUCAGCUACUCACACUCACUCUUCCAUUUGUUCUGCUUUCUUAUUAAAUCUAUUGUUCUAUAUCUCUGUCUUAAUAUUUACAUAUUUAUAUCCUCUACCGUAAUCUGAUAUCUACUAUACUCUAAUAUUUAAUUCUGUGCAUUCCAUAAAAUGUUUUGCUGCUGCGACGAGAGUAAUCAUCGCCAACUUCUGCCUGAACAGUCUCAUCCUUCAACGAUAAGUGCAAUAGCUGGAUUUGCGAUGCUCAAGAUGCAGCAUUCUAUGGUAUCUGCUUUAUCGAAGAAGAUGACUGGUGCCAACGCAUGAACCAGAGAGCUCAUCUGCUCCGAUG